GCCAUUUCUGCUGUGGGAUGAGGAGUUACGACCGAUUCUCUUGCUGUUUAAUUCGUUAUUGAUUUAAGAAAAUCACGAACUGAACAUCAGCCUUCUAGUGAUAGAUUGUGAAUGUGGCAGUGCAAAGAAAGCUCCUGGGCCUCAUCAAAUGUCACCAUGUCCUAGGCUUGUCGAACGACUUGAGGGCCUCAGCCAUUGAGGAUGCAGAAAGUGGCAUUGCAAGCACAGUCAUGGGGAUUUACACAAUCUGAGGAGAAGGUUCUACAAAACCAGAUGAUGUAGGAAUAGUG